rnacentral:tRNA from 1 species
GUUGGAAUGGUCUAGUUGGUUAUGACGGCUGCCUAAUACGCAGUAGGUCCUUUGUUCGAUUCUCGGUUCCAGUA